rnacentral:miRNA from 1 species
CCAGCACUCUGCUGGUUGGGCCAGGUUAAGAUCCAGAUGAAAGCUUCAAGAGAGAUCCUCUCCCCUGGAAUGUUGCAGCUCAGUAAGACAGGCACUCAGACAGUCUUUGGUGA